GUAAAGCACUUUCAGUAGGGAGGAAGGUAGUCGUAGUUAACACCUGCAUUAUUUGACGUUACCUACAGAAGAAGCACCGGCUAACUCCGUGCCAGCAGCCGCGGUAAUACGGAGGGUGCGAGCGUUAAUCGGAAUUACUGGGCGUAAAGCGCAUGCAGGCGGCCUGUUAAGUCAGAUGUGAAAGACCCGGGGCGUUAACCUCGGAAUUGCAUUUGAAACUGGCAGGCUAGAGUCUUGUAGAGGGGGUAGGAAUUUCAGGUGUAGCGGUGAAAUAGCGUAGAGAUCUGAAGGAAUACCAGUGGCGAAGGCGGCCCCCUGGACAAAGACUGACGCUCAGAUGCGAAAGCGUGGGGAGCAAACAGGAUUAGAUACCCUGGUAG
rnacentral:rRNA from 1 species